rnacentral:lncRNA from 1 species
AAUGCCGUGGCGCGAACUUGGGACUGCAGAGGCGCGCCUGGCGGAUCUGAGUGUGUUGCCCGGGCAGCGGCGCGCGGGACCAACGCAAGGAGCAGCUGACAGACGAAGAAAAGUGCUGGACAGGAAGGGAGAAUUCUGACGCCAACAUGCAGCGAAGUAUCAUGUCAUUUUUCCACCCCAAGAAAGAGGGUAAAGCAAAGAAGCCUGAGAAGGAGGCAUCCAAUAGCAGCAGAGAGACGGAGCCCCCUCCAAAGGCGGCACUGAAGGAGUGGAAUGGAGUGGUGUCCGAGAGUGACUCUCCGGUGAAGAGGCCAGGGAGGAAGAAGAGGAGACCCCGAAAGAAAGCCUCACAGAGGCUGAAGUGGCCACAGAGAAGGAAGGAGAAGACGGGGACCAGCCCACCACGCCUCCCAAGCCCCUAAAGACCUCCAAAGCAGAGACCCCGACGGAAAGCGUUUCAGAGCCUGAGGUGGCCACGAAGCAGGAACUGCAGGAGGAGGAAGAGCAGACCAAGCCUCCCCGCAGAGCUCCCAAGACGCUCAGCAGCUUCUUCACCCCCCGGAAGCCAGC